rnacentral:tRNA from 1 species
GGGGCCAUAGCUCAGUUGGUAGAGCGCCUGCCUUGCACGUAGGAGGCCGCCGGUUCGAAUCCGGCUGGCUCCA